CCCUACAUAAUUUCUGAUUUCAUGCUUCAAUUCAUUUAAUUAUUACACUUAAUUGCUUGAUGCCUCUUGUUCCCCUCACCCACAAAAUUUUAUACAACUUUCACAACCAUAACAUGCACCAAUUGAUGCUCCUUCAUUCACAUUUGGAAUCCCAUGCCUUGUGUACCACAUGUUGCUGCACCUUUGACCCAUUUAUUGACACAUUUU
rnacentral:lncRNA from 1 species